rnacentral:rRNA from 1 species
UGGGGAAUUUUGGACAAUGGGGGAAACCCUGAUCCAGCCAUCCCGCGUGUGCGAUGAAGGCCUUCGGGUUGUAAAGCACUUUUGGCAGGAAAGAAACGUCGUGGGUUAAUACCCCGCGAAACUGACGGUACCUGCAGGAUAAGCACCGGCUAACUACGUGCCAGCAGCCGCGGUAAUACGUAGGGUGCAAGCGUUAAUCGGAAUUACUGGGCGUAAAGCGUGCGCAGGCGGUUCGGAAAGAAAGAUGUGAAAUCCCAGAGCUUAACUUUGGAACUGCAUUUUUAACUACCGGGCUAGAGUGUGUCAGAGGGAGGUGGAAUUCCGCGUGUAGCAGUGAAAUGCGUAGAUAUGCGGAGGAACACCGAUGGCGAAGGCAGCCUCCUGGGAUAACACUGACGCUCAUGCACGAAAGCGUGGGGAGCAAACAGGAUUAGAUACCCUGGUAGUCCACGCCCUAAACGAUGUCAACUAGCUGUUGGGGUCUUCGGACCUUGGUAGCGCAGCUAACGCGUGAAGUUGACCGCCUGGGGAGUACGGUCGCAAGAUUAAAACUCAAAGGAAUUGACGGGGUCAUAGCUGUUU